CCUCUCUCUCUCUCUCUCUCUCUCUCUCACAUCUCCCCUCUCGCUGAGACCCUAGAGAAGUAGAAGGUGAAGCGGGCGGGCAAACCCUAAUCCUAAACCUCGAGGUUUAGUCGAUCGAGGGCGUGGCUUGGAUCCUCCCUACCGAGUCCUCCGCGAGCAGGCGAGCUGUGGCGAUCGGAGGAUUUGGCGGGCGAGAUCCGAAAUCUAGCACCUGCCUCGACUGGUGGCGGAUUCCGAUGGGGACGGCGGUCUUCGCGGCGGCGGGCCACGGUUUAGCUCUGACCUGAUCGAGCUGACGUGCUCGGAAUUGCAGAUAUCGCGGUUUGAUUUGGGGCAUCCUUACCUCGAUUAUUUGGAUUUUAUGUUUAUUUUUAACGCUAUUUCAACAUUUAAUUCUAAGAAUUAUGUCGCUUCAAGGAGUUCUUUGGCUGUGGCUUUUUAAUAAGAAAAACAACGGUGAAGCUUGAAAUGAUCAGUGCUUUUUGCGAUUUUCUCGGAUUUUAGGAAUUUGGAGGAGGUCAGUAGUUGAUUCUUUCGCUAGAAAGGCUUGGUUUUGAGCUAGAUAGAUUCAAUUUUUUCUCCUCCUCCUCAUUCUUCUUGUUUUUUAAGCGAGCUUUCUGGUAUUUCACCAAAAAAAAAGCGAGCUUUGCCGUAUCAGUGGAAGAAAUGUUCGGGUACUAGCGGUUCUGAUGGCAAUUUUGUAGGUAAAUUUGCUGUCUGAUUCGAAAAAUUCCGUCUUGAGGAGUUUUUUAGGUUUGUUUUCUGGCAAUUUUCGUCGAUGUGAACUGUGUUCUGAAUUUAAGUGAUUCGAUUUGUUCUCGUUUUAAUGAUUUAUUGGAGAUCAGCGGAAGAGCAGUUGGGGCAUCAGAAAUCAAUAUGUCGAUAAAUAUCUGAAUUAUUACUGUUAUCACUUUUCUUUAAAAAUAAGGAUAGCAUCAUUAGCUGCUGAGAGGUUUAUUAUAAUUACAUUUUCUAUUUUGGAUUUUAGCGGGUUUUCUACCCCCUUUUUUUGUCUCUCUUCAGGACUUUUACAGCUUCUUUGACCACCGGUCUCUCAAGGAAUUUAAUUAAUUUGUUUCUAAUCAAUGCAUGGAGGAAAAUAAACACUAGAAAAUUUUCUUUCGCAGACAUGAUGUCUCUUGGACUUUACGAGGAUUUGACUGUAAUUUCUGCUUCUUCUAUAAAAGAUUGGGAGGCGUUUUGCUUUUAUUUAUUUAUUUAUUUUCGGUGGCUUUGAUGCGGACUGCGAGAAGGGAGUGAUUGGAUUCCAAUCUAGGGAGAGUAAUUAGUUCGCUUUUUCCUGUUGCUUUUGCUGUGCUCUAGUUCUGGUACAGGAGAUGACAUCUAACGCCUAGAAAAGUUCUCUCCCCCCAAAUUAAGUUUGGGGCCGAUUUCAGCGACCCAUCUAGUUCAUUUUUAUUUUAUUUUAUUUCUUGUGAUGACGACGAUUUGGGAUUGUCAAUCGUGUUUAGUAGGUUGAGGAAGGUUUUUAAGGAUUUGGACGCUCACCUUUUGUUCUUUUCUACCCGGCUCUCCCCGUGGUAUUUUGGAGGUGAAGGACAGUUCGACCUCUGUUUAUAUUUGGAAACUUUAAUUUGGAAAGCUUUGGAACGAAUUUAUCAAGUGGAUGGUUUCUCUCCUUUUCCUCUGAAAACCAGGCUUUGAGCGGAACAGUGCAGUAGGGAUUGCUUUCUGUUUUUGUACCUUUUCUUGUUAAUUUGUAAUGGCUUAGUUUCCAUGUUUUUGUGUGCAGGGGUUGCUGGAUAUUGCCAUUGUGAUUUCGUUUUAGAGCAUUGGUGUGAUGAUCGUGAAAAAAAUAUACAUCUUACUGUAAAUAUUUUUGUUGUUAGGGAAUUCUUGAGACUUUUUUCUUUUCUUUUUUUCUUUUGGAUUGCUUUUUUUUUGAUAUACAUAAGUAUGGGAGCCAACUGUUGUGUGGCUGCAAGGGACAAGCCAUUGCCUGACAGAUCACAGUUUGAAGUUUCUACGUUUAGGAAUCUCAGACGCUCACCUUCAUGGAGCUUUCGAUGGGAUAAUCGAACACACAUAGAGGAUAUCAUGGACAGCCUGGUCCAAAUUUCUCCUCACAAUAGUGGGAAUGCAAGUUCUGAAAUUAAAAGUGGGGCAACAACAGAAACUGAAGGCCUUUCAGAUAGAGGAAGUCAGCAAAGUCCUUCUAAGACACGAAAAUGGAAUAAAUCCUCUACAAAUAUUGGAAGUGAUGGCAACUCUAAACCUACUGCCGAUCAAUUUGUUCAAAGCAAUUCAUCCCCUGAGGAAAGGAACUCCAUUGAGCCAUCAGGCAAAACAAGUGCUUCAGAUGGAAAGCCUUCAAUUUCAGUUCCAAUAACUCCGUCAUUGGCAUUCAAAUCAGAUCCUUCAUCUUCCAGAAGUCACUCUCUAUCCUCAGACCCAACUUCAUCAAGGAAAGCGCAUUGUUCGCCAGGAUACCAGCUCUCUAGGCAGGUCUCUGAUAGCAGGAUUCCAUCUCUCAAGUCCAUGAAUGAGAACAGCUCUCCUGAAAAAAAGCAGUCCUCUGUGCUCUCUGUCUGCAGCAAUGACUUGUCCACCGGAGGAUCUCAUGGUGGGUCUUCUGAUGGUUGGUCCAUGCGUACAUUCUCUGAGCUGGUGGCUUCUUCUCAGCGUGAGAGAUGGUCAAUUGACAGUGAAAACCUUAGCUCCAGCAACUGCAAAAUAGAAAUAUCAAACACUCAACAAACAACACCUCUCUCUCCUGAUUGCCAUACAUGCAGAGUAUGCUCAAAGCUAUUAAAGGAGAGAUCUCCAUGGAGCGCUCAGAAAAUAGUGUCUACCAAUGAGCUCUCCAUUGUUGCAGUUCUGGUUUGUGGGCACGUCUAUCAUGUUGAUUGCUUGGAAAACAUGACACCUGAAGCUGAGAGAUAUGAUCCACCCUGUCCUGUCUGCACGCAUGGAGAGAAAUUUAUUGCAAAGCUGUUGGGAAAAGCUGAGUUGAAGGGAAGAAACAAGAUAUCCAGGACUGCAGUGGCUGACGUUGCUGUGGACAGCAAUUCUCUCUCUGAGCACCAGAAAAGGAGUGGGAAAAGACCAAGAGCCGGUUCUAGCAUGAAGAGCUCCUUUGGUAGGCCUUUCUUGAGGUGGCGCUUCUCCAUUGGGUCGCGACCGACUCGUUCAAUAUCAGACAAUGAGUCCACAAGGAAGAAGGGGUUCUGGGCAAGGUACCUGAGGGAUUAAACUAGCCCUUGCUUUCCCAUAUGAAGAGUACCUCUCUUAUUUCUCCAUGAAUGCAAAGCGUCUGAAUUGUUCCCGAGCAAGCAUGUGUUUCUGUAGUGAUAACAAAGGAUGAUGGAGAUAGCUGUACUAUCAAGCUUCCCCAUGGCCUUACCAUUCUGGAAACCCCAGGGCACUCGGCAUGCUCUCGGAUGCAGGAUAAACUUCCCCCUUUUGAAAGGACACUCAUUGCAGGUUUAGUGUAUACUUGGAUGGUUCGCUUAACAUAUAGCUGGUAUCUAGUUCUGAUGCCUUGAUCUUUUUCAUGGAAACUCAUGAUUGUGUGAUCUACAGAUCCAGUACUCAUAGAAACUGGUGAAGCAACUUCUUUCACUAACUGACCUUUUUCCAUCCUAAAAGCUCUAUCCAGGAAGCAGGCUCAAUUAUAACUAAUGUAAAAUCUUGAAAAUUUGGCAAUCACAUGGCAAUGGCUGACUUUGAACUGGGGGAGCAGGCGAAGCUGCCGUAAAUGAAUGUUGAAAUGCUUCCAAUUUGCAGGGAGGCUACCAUGCUUCUCAUAAUCCAAUCAGUUUAGCUCGUACAGAUGCCAUCUGAUGUUGGGUAAUGAGGAAGGACAAUUCAAGCAUUUGAGCAUGGGCACCAUUAAAUUUCAAUCAUCAGGGAAGUUUUGGUGGGGGCUACUUUUUUCUUAAAUUGUCUGUAAUUGUUUGACUGGAGUUAGGUCUACUUCUCCAGUACAUGUAUCUGUUUUUGAUGGUUUGAGACUAUUCAUUUGAUUAUGUCAUCUUAAAUAUAUAGCUUGUAGAACUCA